GGGUUGUGAGGUUAAGCGACUAAGCGUACACGGUGGAUGCCCUGGCAGUCAGAGGCGAUGAAGGACGUGCUAAUCUGCGAUAAGCGUCGGUAAGGUGAUAUGAACCGUUAUAACCGGCGAUUUCCGAAUGGGGAAACCCAGUGUGUUUCGACACACUAUCAUUAACUGAAUCCAUAGGUUAAUGAGGCGAACCGGGGGAACUGAAACAUCUAAGUACCCCGAGGAAAAGAAAUCAACCGAGAUUCCCCCAGUAGCGGCGAGCGAACGGGGAGCAGCCCAGAGCCUGAAUCAGUGUGUGUGUUAGUGGAAGCGUCUGGAAAGGCGCGCGAUACAGGGUGACAGCCCCGUACACAAAAAUGCACAUGCUGUGAGCUCGAUGAGUAGGGCGGGACACGUGGUAUCCUGUCUGAAUAUGGGGGGACCAUCCUCCAAGGCUAAAUACUCCUGACUGACCGAUAGUGAACCAGUACCGUGAGGGAAAGGCGAAAAGAACCCCGGCGAGGGGAGUGAAAAAGAACCUGAAACCGUGUACGUACAAGCAGUGGGAGCACGCUUAGGCGUGUGACUGCGUACCUUUUGUAUAAUGGGUCAGCGACUUAUAUUCUGUAGCAAGGUUAACCGAAUAGGGGAGCCGAAGGGAAACCGAGUCUUAACUGGGCGUUAAGUUGCAGGGUAUAGACCCGAAACCCGGUGAUCUAGCCAUGGGCAGGUUGAAGGUUGGGUAACACUAACUGGAGGACCGAACCGACUAAUGUUGAAAAAUUAGCGGAUGACUUGUGGCUGGGGGUGAAAGGCCAAUCAAACCGGGAGAUAGCUGGUUCUCCCCGAAAGCUAUUUAGGUAGCGCCUCGUGAAUUCAUCUCCGGGGGUAGAGCACUGUUUCGGCAAGGGGGUCAUCCCGACUUACCAACCCGAUGCAAACUGCGAAUACCGGAGAAUGUUAUCACGGGAGACACACGGCGGGUGCUAACGUCCGUCGUGAAGAGGGAAACAACCCAGACCGCCAGCUAAGGUCCCAAAGUCAUGGUUAAGUGGGAAACGAUGUGGGAAGGCCCAGACAGCCAGGAUGUUGGCUUAGAAGCAGCCAUCAUUUAAAGAAAGCGUAAUAGCUCACUGGUCGAGUCGGCCUGCGCGGAAGAUGUAACGGGGCUAAACCAUGCACCGAAGCUGCGGCAGCGACGCUUAUGCGUUGUUGGGUAGGGGAGCGUUCUGUAAGCCUGUGAAGGUGUGCUGUGAGGUAUGCUGGAGGUAUCAGAAGUGCGAAUGCUGACAUAAGUAACGAUAAAGCGGGUGAAAAGCCCGCUCGCCGGAAGACCAAGGGUUCCUGUCCAACGUUAAUCGGGGCAGGGUGAGUCGACCCCUAAGGCGAGGCCGAAAGGCGUAGUCGAUGGGAAACAGGUUAAUAUUCCUGUACUUGGUGUUACUGCGAAGGGGGGACGGAGAAGGCUAUGUUGGCCGGGCGACGGUUGUCCCGGUUUAAGCGUGUAGGCUGGUUUUCCAGGCAAAUCCGGAAAAUCAAGGCUGAGGCGUGAUGACGAGGCACUACGGUGCUGAAGCAACAAAUGCCCUGCUUCCAGGAAAAGCCUCUAAGCAUCAGGUAACAUCAAAUCGUACCCCAAACCGACACAGGUGGUCAGGUAGAGAAUACCAAGGCGCUUGAGAGAACUCGGGUGAAGGAACUAGGCAAAAUGGUGCCGUAACUUCGGGAGAAGGCACGCUGAUAUGUAGGUGAAGUCCCUCGCGGAUGGAGCUGAAAUCAGUCGAAGAUACCAGCUGGCUGCAACUGUUUAUUAAAAACACAGCACUGUGCAAACACGAAAGUGGACGUAUACGGUGUGACGCCUGCCCGGUGCCGGAAGGUUAAUUGAUGGGGUCAGCGCAAGCGAAGCUCUUGAUCGAAGCCCCGGUAAACGGCGNNNNNNNNNNNNNNNNNNNNNNNNNNNNNNNNNNNNGGUAAGUUCCGACCUGCACGAAUGGCGUAAUGAUGGCCAGGCUGUCUCCACCCGAGACUCAGUGAAAUUGAACUCGCUGUGAAGAUGCAGUGUACCCGCGGCAAGACGGAAAGACCCCGUGAACCUUUACUAUAGCUUGACACUGAACAUUGAGCCUUGAUGUGUAGGAUAGGUGGGAGGCUUUGAAGUGUGGACGCCAGUCUGCAUGGAGCCGACCUUGAAAUACCACCCUUUAAUGUUUGAUGUUCUAACGUUGACCCGUAAUCCGGGUUGCGGACAGUGUCUGGUGGGUAGUUUGACUGGGGCGGUCUCCUCCUAAAGAGUAACGGAGGAGCACGAAGGUUGGCUAAUCCUGGUCGGACAUCAGGAGGUUAGUGCAAUGGCAUAAGCCAGCUUGACUGCGAGCGUGACGGCGCGAGCAGGUGCGAAAGCAGGUCAUAGUGAUCCGGUGGUUCUGAAUGGAAGGGCCAUCGCUCAACGGAUAAAAGGUACUCCGGGGAUAACAGGCUGAUACCGCCCAAGAGUUCAUAUCGACGGCGGUGUUUGGCACCUCGAUGUCGGCUCAUCACAUCCUGGGGCUGAAGUAGGUCCCAAGGGUAUGGCUGUUCGCCAUUUAAAGUGGUACGCGAGCUGGGUUUAGAACGUCGUGAGACAGUUCGGUCCCUAUCUGCCGUGGGCGCUGGAGAACUGAGGGGGGCUGCUCCUAGUACGAGAGGACCGGAGUGGACGCAUCACUGGUGUUCGGGUUGUCAUGCCAAUGGCACUGCCCGGUAGCUAAAUGCGGAAGAGAUAAGUGCUGAAAGCAUCUAAGCACGAAACUUGCCCCGAGAUGAGUUCUCCCUGACUCCUUGAGAGUCCUGAAGGAACGUUGAAGACGACGACGUUGAUAGGCCGGGUGUGUAAGCGCAGCGAUGCGUUGAGCUAACCGGUACUAAUGAACCGUGAGGCUUAACCUUACAACGCCGAAGCUGUU
rnacentral:rRNA from 1 species